rnacentral:rRNA from 1 species
GAUGAACGCUGGCGGCGUGCUUAACACAUGCAAGUCGAGCGAGAAGUUUUGAAAAGAUUCUUCGGAUGAAAUUUAAAAUGGAAAGCGGCGGACGGGAGAGUAACGCGUAGGCAACCUGCCCCAUACAAAGGGAUAGCAUUUGGAAACGAAUAUUAAUACCUUAUGAAACUUAACUAGUGCAUGCUAGGUAGGUCAAAGAUUUAUCGGUAUGGGAUGGGCCUGCGUCUGAUUAGCUAGUUGGGGAGGUAACGGCCCACCAAGGCGACGAUCAGUAGCCGACCUGCGAGGGUGAACGGCCACAUGGGAACUGAGACACGGUCCAAACUCCUACGAGAGGCAGCAGUGGGGAAUAUUGCACAAUGGGGGAAACCCUGAUGCAGCAACGCCGCGUGAACGAUGAAGGCCUUUGGGUCGUAAAGUUCUGUUCUAGGUGAUGAAAACUGACAGUAACCUAGGAGAAAGCCCCGGCUAACUCCGUG